UACGUAGGGUGCAAGCGUUAAUCGGAAUUACUGGGCGUAAAGCGUGCGCAGGCGGUUCGGAAAGAGAGGUGUGAAAUCCCAGGGCUUAACCUUGGAACUGCACUUUUAACUACCGGGCUAGAGUACGUCAGAGGGGGGUAGAAUUCCACGUGUAGCAGUGAAAUGCGUAGAGAUGUGGAGGAAUACCGAUGGCGAAGGCAGCCCCCUGGGAUGAUACUGACGCUCAUGCACGAAAGCGUGGGGAGCAAACCGG
rnacentral:rRNA from 1 species